GUUGUCCUCCUCCAUCCCACCUUUUUUGUUACGGAUCCUUCAUUUUUAAGCUGUUUUUGUGCCAUGGGGAGAAGAGGAAGGCCACGGGAAGGAUUGUCUUCUCAGGUCCUAUGUCCAUGAGCUGAGCAGGGGAUUCCAGGCGAUCUCACUCCUCCUCACGCUGCCGGGAUGGAGCGCUCUUGGCCAAGCUGGAUUCUUCCAGGGAUUAUCAGACUUGGAAAAAAAAGUCCCCUUGUCAUGUACUAAGGUGGAUAUUGGCUUUUUGGAGGAAAAGCAGAUGAUGAGGUUGCUCACCCCCACGCUGUGCCUGGGCAGGUCAGGCUCUUGGCAGCACCAGGGGACUGGGAACCGAUACGGGGUGGAGGAGUUAACUGGGACCAUGCUGGGGACCAGUUAAGAAAAGUGUUGAUGGUGUGUGCAGGAGGAAGUGUGGCUGCUCAGGGCACAUCUCCAUCCAGGACCUGGAGGAUCCAGGAGACCUUGUCACCUGUAAAUAUCCAUGUUAACUGCUAGUUAACGUACAACUCAACCCCCCAGUUUUGUCCCUAAAAGAUAAGAAUCUGUCUGUUGCUGAAGGGUCAGAUAUCUGGGGAGAGGCUGGGAGCUCCCAAAGCCACUGAUGGUUCCCCUCUCACCACCCCAAGCAUCUUGGUGACCAAACACAGCACCACCUUCCUUUGCCUUUUGCAUUCCCUUCCCUGAGAUUCUUCCGACAAGUCAAUACUUCCACUGGGGUGAGGAAUUCAGAUAAUUUCUCUGUAUUUUCCCAGUCCAUCAGGGAAUGAGGCCAGAAGGCCAGUGCUUGCCUCUCGGCCACGUGCAGGACCAGCCAAGGGACCCCAUCUGUCCCCUCGCUGGCCUUUCCCAGGGGGGACUUCCCCCAGGGACCUGUGCGGAAGGAAUCGCACCAGGAGGUGCUGGGCUGUUAUGAUCCCAGUAAGAACAGCACUCAGUAAAGUGGCAUUUUAAAUAAAAAGAGGAUAGUGUAGAUAAUCUUGCCUCCUUUUGGUUACUGGGACCCCCAAGUUGUGCUCCAUCACAUGGGUCUCCCAUCAGGGUGCAGCGCACCGGGCAGACCCCAUCUGCGGAAGGGUUGCCUUGUUAUUGUUAAUUCAAGAUAAAUUCAAGAUAUUAUUGUGUUUUCUUAAGAGAAGGCAAUUCUGGUGGCCCCCCAACCAGGAUGCCCGGCUCCCCCCUUACCCCUGGCAUGGUCUGGGUGCCAAGGAAGGCUGAAAGCUCGGGGUGAAGCCCCUCGUGAUGCCGCAUCCGAGCGUGUGGAGUCACCGGAGCCGUGCCGAACGCUGCUCCAGGGAGUAACUUUGGGUCAUUUUGGAUACUUGAACUGCAAUACUAGUCAUUUUUUAUAAGUUUGGGUUGGUUUUGUUUGGUUUUUUUUAGAGUGGUAUGUGUUGCCCCGUUACUGAAAAGAAACGUAGUUGAAAAGAAAUCAUUAAAAAAAGGAGGGGGCACAAUUACUGUUCCUGGCCCAGUGCUCGACUUUGCAACUUUAACGUGGCUUUUUUCCCUUGGGUUCUUUGUGUGAUAUUUAUGUUGUUGCCAUCAGUGCGUCCGUGGUUUCUUUUACAGCGUAGUGUAGCGUUGCGUUUUGUAAAGGCUCCUUACAAAUGGGGGGGGGGGGGGGGGGGGCAGCUUUCAAACCAAAUUUUGUGUCAAACACUAACAGUUUGUUUACGGGGCGCGUGUCUGCGUGCGUGCGUGUGUGUAUGGGGGUUUUUUUUUUUAAUUUCUUAAUUCCUAAGUCCUACUCAUAUGUCUCAGAAAUAGUCCCUGGGUCUUAUUAAAAUAUAUCCUUUUUUUUUUUUUGUUUAGGCUGAGUUCCGGUUUUUACAGAAUGCUUUAAGCAACCUGGGAAACGUGUAGUUUUUGUUAAUUUAAAUAAAAUAUACAAUAUUGUGGA